rnacentral:lncRNA from 1 species
GGACGUCCUCUGUGUACUGAGGGAUACACGGACACACACGGACAGCCACAGGAAGGGCCAGCGUGCUGAUAUGUAUGGGUACCUCAUAUAUGAUAUAAUCCAUAAAAAAAAAGUACAAACUUACAAUUGAACCCAGGUUAAUAAGUGAGAAAGAAAUGUCAGUUGCCACCACACUACAUUGAUUCUUUACAGUAUUCGCUGAGUCAAAAGCAUAUAAACUCUAUGCUAUGCGCUGUAUAAACAAUUGUGUAAAAUAAACAUAAAGGGAUUUUGAUCUCGGGUUUGCUGUAGAAGAGAGAAGAGACCAAACCACCAUGCCAUAUGGGUUAUUAGCAUAUAACUAUAAGUUUUAAAAUUUAAAGUAAACACUAUGAUCUGAAUUUCUUAUGUAUUUCAAAAAAAAAUUGUUUGGCAUGAAGCUAGACACAAAGAAGAACACAAAAAUGUAUUCAGAUUAUAAAUUCAGUUCAAAAAAAAAAUUAAAUCACAGUUUUUAAACACAUAAAUGGAAGAAAAUCAUACAAGA